rnacentral:lncRNA from 1 species
AUUUUGAUGUCAAUUUACAUUCACUGGAGUCGCUGCUGUUUCUCUGGCGGGCAGUAGAGCAUGAUGUUUAAGAAGCCAAGGGAGCAGCAUGUGACUUCCAUCCUCGUGGUUUGCAAGAUGGUUGCUGUAACUCCAAGAGUUGUGAACACGCUCCGGACAGAAGAAGGAGGGAGGAGGAAAGAAGGAGAAGAGCCAGUAUUGGGAAAAUGGAAGCUUUCCUCAGAAAUCCCCCAUGGACUUCCGCUUCUGUCUCAUUGGCCAGAACGGGGUCAUGUGACGACUGGCUGUGAAGAGGUCUGGGAAGGUUCAUGUUUUCAGCUGAGUAUAUUGUAGGGCUGAACAAAAUUGGGGUUUUGUGGUGAGAAGGAAGUAGAGAUUAGAAUGGGGGAAUAACUAGCCGUUCUGGCAUGUGUCACGGUCUACUUCUUUAUUUCUUCUAACUUUAGAACCAGACAAAUAGGUGAAUAAACAAACAA